AUGAAAAUAUAAGUUUUGCAGUGAAAAUAUAAGGUUUUCCUUUUUUUGACCAAUCAGAGCAGACCUUUGUAUUCACCUCGUUGAAACUUGCCGAUUUUUCCAGUCGAAGCGGAGAAAGAUAAAUGGGUUAUUUUGCUGUAAUUCUGAAAUUUUCAGACUAAUUUUUGACAAAAUACUGACUUGAUGUUAGUUAUUCAUGCACAGAUUCUCCUAUAACAGCAGAAAACUCUUAAAUAUUGCGUUGAUCAGUCCUUUCAAAAUGCCGCCGUCAACUUGACGUGGAGUAACAAACAGAUGACGUCAUUACUGAUUCCCGCACUUUUUGACACUAUUAAUUUUUCGAUAUUUUUUAUUUAGUUUUUUUAAGUUUAUGAAAUGCAAUAAAAAGGAAAUUGAAUGGUUUCCCGUUAAAUAUAACAUAUAUUUCACUCGUAUGACAGUCUGAAAUUUUCAAUGUACAUGUAUAAAUUUUUGACAAAAAGUUGAGAAAAACUACAUUAAAAUUAUGGUGUCCAACAGAGACAGCUGCAGCCUUGACAAUAGUCUUUUUCAGUGUGUUCCAUUGUGUUCCUUCCUUGGUCAGCAUGAAAGUAUAGAUUGCAAAUAACUGGCGGUUUGUGUCGCCUAGCUGACGUGUUUCACUGAACUGUAUUUGUUUUGUAUAUAUUUAGCUUAUUGGGGCUGAGCUUAUGCCAUAUGUCAAAACAUCAAUCAUCCCUCCUCCCAUUGGCUGUCAUCUCUCAACAUCUUCUCUAAAUCCCUACUUGUCCUGAACAACUAAAUGGAUUCUGACAUUAUUUCAUACUGAAAUAUCCUAGUGAGUGAGGCAGGCCCUCUGAGACUCUGGUUUAAUUCUUUUCAUUCCCAGUUUUGUUUAUUAUAUAUAAGUAUACAAUCUUUGUAACCAUAGCAGUGUUCAAUGUUCAUACAAGAAUAACAGGUGUGAUGGGUGUUAAUGUAAUAACUUACAUUAAACAGGUGUGAUCGGUGUUAAUGUAAUAACUUACAUUGAACAGGUGUGAUGGGUGUUAAUGUAACAACAACUUACAUUGAACAGGUGUGAUGGGUGUUAAUGUAAUAACUUACAUUCAACAGGUGUGAUGGGUGUUAAUGUAAUAACUGACAUUGAACAGGUGUGAUGGGUGUUAAUGUAACAAUAACUUACAUUGAACAGGUGUGAUGGGUGUUAAUGUAACAACAACUUACAUUGAACAGGUACGAUGGGUGUUAAUGUAAUAACUUACAUUGAACAGGUGUGAUGGGUGUUAAUGUAAUAACUUACAUUGAACAGGUGUGAUGGGUGUUAAUGUAAUAACUUACAUUGAACAGGUACGAUGGGUGUUAAUGUAACUUACAUUUAACAGGUACGAUGGGUGUUAAUGUAACUUACAUUAACAGGUACGAUGGGUGUUAAUGUAAUAACUUACAUUGAACAGGUGUGAUGGGUGUUAAUGUAAUAACUUACAUUGAACAGGUGUGAUGGGUGUUAAUGUAACUUACAUUUAACAGGUACGAUGGGUGUUAAUGUAAUAACUUACAUUGAACAGGUACGAUGGGUGUUAAUGUAGUAACUUACAUUGAACAGGUGUGAUGGGUGUUAAUGUAACAACUUACAUUGAACAGGUGUGAUGGGUGUUAAUGUAAUAACUUACAUUGAACAGGUGUGAUGGGUGUUAAUGUAACAAUAACUUACAUUGAACAGGUACGAUGGGUGUUAAUGUAAUAACUUACAUUGAACAGGUGUAAUGGGUGUUAAUGUAACAAUAACUUACAUUGAACAGGUACGAUGGGUGUUAAUGUAACAACAACUUACAUUGAACAGGUGUGAUGGGUGUUAAUGUAAUAACAACAUACAUUGAACAGGUGUGAUGGGUGUUAAUGUAAUAACUUACAUUGAACAGGUACGAUGGGUGUUAAUGUAACAAUAACUUACAUUGAACAGGUACGAUGGGUGUUAAUGUAAUAACAACAUACAUUGAACAGGUGUGAUUAGUGUUAAUGUAAUAACUUACAUUUAACAGGUACAAUGGGUGUUAAUGUAACAACUUACAUUGAACAGGUGUGAUGGGUGUUACUGUCACAAUAACUUACAUUGAACAGGUACAAUGGGUGUUAAUGUAACUUACAUUGAACAGGUGUGAUGGGUGUUCAUGUAACAACAACUUACAUUGAACCGGUGUGUUGGGUGUUAAUGUAACAAUAACUUACAUUGAACAGGUACAAUGGGUGUUAAUGUAACAACUUACAUUUAACAGGUACAAUGGGUGUUAAUGUAACAACUUACAUUGAACAGGUGUGAUGGGUGUUAAUGUAACAAUAACUUACAUUUAACAGGUACAAUGGGUGUUAAUGUAACAACUUACAUUGAACAGGUGUGAUGGGUGUUAAUGUAACAAUAACUUACAUUUAACAGGUACAAUGGGUGUAAAUGUAACUUACAUUGAACAGGUAUGAUGGGUGUUAAUGUAAUAACUUACAUUGAACAGUUGUGAUGGGUGUCAAUGUAGUAACUUACAUUGAACAGGUACAAUGGGUGUUUAUGUAACUUACAUUGAACAGGUGCGAUGGGUGUUUAUCUAAUAACUUACAUUGAACAGGUACGAUGGGUGUUAAUGUAAUAACUUACAUUUAACAGGUGUGAUGGGUGUUAAUGUAAUAACUUACAUUGAACAGGUGUGAUGGGUGUUAAUGUAAUAACUUACAUUGAACAGGUGUGAUGGGUGUUAAUGUAAUAACUUACAUUUAACAGGUGUGAUGGGUGUUAAUGUAGUAACUUACAUUGAACAGGUGUGAUGGGUGUUAAUGUAACAACAACUUACAUUGAACAGGUGUGAUGGGUGUUAAUGUAACAAUAACUUACAUUUAACAGGUACAAUGGGUGUUAAUGUAACAAUAACUUACAUUGAACAGGUACAAUGGGUGUUAAUGUAACAACAACUUACAUUGAACAGGUGUGAUGGGUGUUAAUGUAACAACAACUUACAUUGAACAGGUGUGAUGGGUGUUAAUGUAACAAUAACUUACAUUUAACAGGUACAAUGGGUGUUAAUGUAACAACUUACAUUUAACAGGUACAAUGGGUGUUAAUGUAACAAUAACUUACAUUUAACAGGUACAAUGGGUGUUAAUGUAACAACAACUUACAUUGAACAGGUGUGAUGGGUGUUAAUGUAACAAUAACUUACAUUGAACAGGUCCAAUGGGUGUUAAUGUAACAACUUACAUUGAACAGGUGUGAUGGGUGUUAAUGUAAUAAUAACUUACAUUGAACAGGUGUGAUGGGUGUUAAUGUAGCAACAACUUACAUUGAACAGGUACGAUGGGUGUUAAUGUAAUAACUUACAUUGAACAGGUACAAUGGGUGUUAAUGUAGCAAUCACUUACAUUAAUGUAUCAUGCAGCAAUUAACAAGUGUAUUGAAAAAAUGAUUCUUUAUGAUGAUAAAAAUGUAAAGAUGAGAAAGGGGGGAAAUAAUUCAUUAGAAAUAUGAUGCUGUCUCCAGCAGGGAAAACAUCGUAGGUGGUGAAAUCACAACCAUACAGCUCAACACUUUUUUGUAUGGUAUAUUUUUAGCUCACCUGCCCUGAGGGCAAGUGAGCUUAUGCCGUGGCGCGGCGUCUGUCUGUCGUCCAUUAUCAACUUUUCCAUUUCAACAACUUCUUCUCAAUAACCAAGAGGCCCAGAGACCUAUGUUGGGCCUGUAGCAUGCUGGGAGGAAUCAAAUUGACCUUCAUUCAAUGUCACAGGGGUCAAAUAGGCUAAAAUCUUUAAACAACUUCUUCUCAAUAACCAAGAUACUCGGGUGAUGAACUACCAAGUUUGUUCAAAUGAAUGACCUUGACUAUCAUUCAAGGUCACAGGGGUCAAAUAACCUAAAAUCUUUAAAAGACAUCUUCUCAAUAACCAACAGGUCAAGGGACUUGAUGUUGGGCCUGUAGCAUGCUGGGGUAAAGGCUGCCAAAUUUUUGCAAAUGAAUGACCUUGACCUACAUUCAAGGUCACAGGGUGAAAUAGGCUAAAAUCUUGAAAUGACUUCUCAAUAACCAAGAGGUCCAGGGAAUGCAUAUUGAUCUGUAGUAUGGGAAUGACCUUGACCUACAUUCAAGGUCGCAGGGGUCAAAUAGACUUAAAUCUUUAAAUGACUUUUCAAUAACCAAAAGACCCAGUGAUAUAGGUCAAAUACACCAUGAUUUAAGAAUUUGAUAUACCAACAGACUUAAAAGACUCCUGAAAUAACUUCAGGGUCCAUAUAUGAAUAUAUGCAUUGCAGGUGAGUGAUUCGGGCCCAUUGGGCCCUUGUUUUUAUAUGAUAAGCAUAGCUGAAAUGUCCAUGUUGUCUUUAGGAUAUUACCUAACAUGGUAAAGGUUUACUGUGUCGCCUUUCUACAAGUCCAAGACACCUGUUACAUGUACAUGUAUAUAGAUCUCUGAUAUAUAUCAAUAUAUCUAUACGUUAAUUUGAAGGCCAUUGUAAAAUGUAGGCUGAAAGCUGACUCGUUUAUGUGAUUUUUUUUUUUACAUUAUUGCUGGUGGCUGUUAGUGAAUACAUGUUGUGAUACUUUUAAAUUGUUGUUUGUUUUUACUUACCAUGAUUGUACUUGAACUAAGUACUCCAGAAAUAAAUAAUUAGGUUCAGAUGAAGGCAAUUAAACUGUAAAUCAAC